CCUACGGGUGGCAGCAGUGAGGAAUCUUUGUCAAUGGACGGAAGUCUGAACCAGCCAUGCCGCGUGCAGGAAGACGGCUUUAUGAGUUGAAAACUGUUUUUGUACAAGGGUAUACCUUAAUAAGUGUUUUCCGCUGAAAGUACUGUUCGAAUAAGGAUCGGCUAACACCGUGCCAGCAGCGGCGGUAAUCCGGAGGAUCCGAGCGUUAUCCGGUUAGAUUGGGUUUAAAGGGUGAGUAGUGGAAUUAUUAGUAUAGAGGUGAAAUGUCCGUUCUUAACUCGGAAACUGUCUCUAAUACUGUUGAGCUAGAGAGUAGAUGCGGUAGGCGGAAUGUAUGGUGUAGCAGUGAAAUGCUUAGAGAUCAGACAGAACACCGAUUGCGAAGGCAGCUUACCAAGCUAUAUCUGACGUUGAGGCACGAAAGCGUAGGGAGCAAACAGGAUUAGAUACCCUAGUAGUC
rnacentral:rRNA from 1 species